AACGAACGCUGGCGGCAGGCCUAACACAUGCAAGUCGAACGCUCCGCAAGGGGAGUGGCGCACGGGUGAGUAACACGUGGGAACCUACCUUCUGGUACGGAACAACCAAGGGAAACUUUGGCUAAGACCGUAUACGACCUCCGGGUGAAAGAUUGAUCGCCGGAAGAGGGGCCCGCGUCCGAUUAGGUAGUUGGUGAGGUAACGGCUCACCAAGCCUUCGAUCGGUAGCUGGUCUGAGAGGAUGACCAGCCACACUGGGACUGAGACACGGCCCAGACUCCUACGGGAGGCAGCAGUAGGGAAUAUUGGACAAUGGGCGCAAGCCUGAUCCAGCCAUGCCGCGUGAGUGAUGAAGGCCUU
rnacentral:rRNA from 1 species